rnacentral:ncRNA from 1 species
UUAAAAACUGUGAAUGAGAGAGUACAUAUCAUGUGGUUUCCAGGGAGAAAAGGUCAUGGACUGUAAGCCUUUUUAAGCAAAUUGAUAUCGAAGUUCACUCAGGAGUUCUAGCUGUGAAAAUUUAUAGUAGUAGCUAGCGGCAUAAAGUCGUUAAUAUUAAUUGAGUUGGGUAGCUUUUGAUAAAGCUCCAAUUAGGGUGGUAACGCGGAUUUUUUCGUCCCUUUC